GAUGAAGAACGUAGCGAAAUGCGAUAAGUAAUGUGAAUUGCAGAAUUCAGUGAAUCAUCGAAUCUUUGAACGCACAUUGCGCCCGCCAGUAUUCUGGCGGGCAUGCCUGUUCGAGCGUCAUUUCAACCCUCAGGCCCCGCCUGGCGUUGGGGAUCGGCGCGGCCCUCUCCGGGCUGCCGGCCCCGAAAACUAGUGGCGGUCUCGCUGUAGUCCUCCUCUGCGCAGUAGCAACGCUCGCACUGGAACUCGGCGCGGCCACGCCGUAAAACACCCCACUUCUGAAAGUUGACCUCGGAUCAGGUAGGAAUACCCGCUGAACUUAAGCAUAUAAUAAGCGGAGGA
rnacentral:misc_RNA from 1 species